UCGUGCUGAGCAGUAGACCACGUACAGAACUCAUAACAUUCUAAAUGUCCAGGCCACAUCCUAUACCAAUUAAAUCAUAAUCUUUGGGGGCUUAAGGAUCAGUACUUAAAAACAAAGAACAAAAACAAAACAACCUGGGAAUUCCAAUGUGUAGCCACCUUUGGGAACAAAUGUCCUAAAUUAGUGGUUCUCAAAGUGUCCCAGGUCACAACUAGUAGCAUCAGCUGGGAACUUGUUAGAAAUGCAAAUUCUCAAUCCCCACUUCAGGAACAAGAAACCUGGAGAGUAGAGCCCAGGAAUACGUAUUUUAACAAGCCCUGCAGGUGAUUCCAAUGCAUGCCUCAGUUUGAGAACCUUUGCCCUACAUUCUUGGAGCUCAAGAUGUGGCUUUUGGACCAGCUGUGUCAGCAUCACCUGGAAGCUUGUUAGAAAAGCCGAAUUUCUGAUACCAUCCCAGCUCAUAACCUGACCAACGGGAUCAGAAUCUGUACUUUUAAUGUUAUCCCCAAUGACUCAUAGGCAUGUUAAAAUUUGAGAAGCCUUCUAGCUCUAUCCCCUGAGAGAGUCUAGAAGCAAUAACACGGGUAGCAGCAGCCCAUCUGGCACCUACAUCUUGGAUUCCAAAUACCAUUUAAUAUCAAUGGGAACUGGGCUCACUGGAGAGAAGGCUGAUUCCAGGGCUAGUGCCAGGAAAGUGCAAGAUAGGUCUGAAAUACCUAGUGCCAGAAAGCAAGGGUAUUCUUGAAGGAUGAUGGGACAUGUCAGAAAGACAAAGGGGUCAGUUUAAAAGGCCUCCCAUGGGCCAAAUCUGAGAAGAAUCUGAUAAUAGUGGAUUAUAACCCGUUGAAUAAAAUAAUAACUGAUGAGUUUGUAGUGUUAUAAAUAAAUAGGUUAUCAUAUAAAUAAGUGAGAGAGAAAGAAAAGUCUUCCUUGCAAUAGAAUGUUAGCUAAUAAGUAGAAAAGGAAAGAUGGAGUAAGAAAAUCGUGCAUGAAUGCUAAAACUAAUGGGUGAAAGUUUGAGGAGCAGAAUGUUUAUGCCUUAAAAGUAACCUCCCCACAAAUGACAUACAGAGGGGAAGAUAGUAACUUUAUAUGGAGAAGCCUGGCAGAGACCACCUUCACCCAACAGUCAAAGUUAACAUCACCCAUAUCGAGACAGUCUGACACCACAUGCUUCCUGCAACAAUGCACGGAGGAGGACAUGACAUUACUUCUGUGGCAUUCCUGCCAAAAAGGCAUUACCUCAGUCAACUCCUCGAGAAUCACUAGGAACCCCAAGAGGAGCGUUCUACAAAAUAGCUGGCCUGCACUCUUAAGGAAUGUCAAAGUCAAGAAAGACAGCAGCUAAGGAAUUGUUCCAGAUUAAAGGAGACUAAAGAGACAUGAGAACUACAUGCAGCAUGUGAUCCUGGACCCAGAAAAAUGUAUGUAAUUUCAAAAGGUUGGAGUGACCAACAAGAUUUAUACGGAUGGUGGUUAUGUAAGAGAAUGUUCUUAUUUUAGGAAAUACACACUGAAGUACAGGGUAAUGGGGCAGUAUGUUUGCAUUAUGUACUCUCAAACAGUUCUGAAAAAGUAUGUGUGUAUGUGUAAAAGUAUGUGUAUAUAUUAUAUAUUUAUAUAGAGAGAGGAGAGAGAGUGGGACAAAUAUAAAUGGUGAAUCUAGAAGAUGAGAGUUCCUUGCACUAUUUUGGAAUUUUUCUGCAAGUUUGAAAUUAUGUCAAAAAUAAAGUCCUUCCCCCCCCCCCCCUUGAAAAAAGACCUGGUGGGGGGGGCAGACACCAAAAUAAACCAAGGAAGAAGCAGUGUUCCAGAACACUUGCUUCCAAAUUUAGUACGACUCUGUCCUUCCUGUCAUUCAGGUCUCUGCUCCUCCAUUACCUCAUCAGAGAGGCCCCAGCUGGUCACCUCAUCUAACAUAGCCCCCUGCCCCCCCCCCACUGUCAGACCCUGUCUAUCACAGUACCUGCUUUCUUAUUUUCAUAGUAUUUUGUUAGCUGUAUAAUUAUCCCAGCUUAUGGAUUUGUCCUCUACUUUACUGUCUCCUCCCACUAGAAUGUAAACUUUGUAAGUGUAGAGAUUUUUUUUUGGUCUUGAUACAUCCCCCAGUACAGUGCCUAACAUCUACAGGCACCUGGGGGGGCUUGUGUUACACGCAUGAACAAGUAAACAGAUCUAUAUAUGAGUCCCAGUUUUCACAUCUGUAGGGCAAGGGACUCUACAAUUCAACACCCAGACUCCUUUCCAGCCCUGACACUCAGAGUCUGGCAAUGUAAGAGCUACUGUUUAAGGAGCAUCCGAAAUGUCCUAGCUUUUAUUUACAGUCUCUCAUUUAAUCUCCACAAUAAUCCGGCAGCACUGGUGACAGUACCCUUGUUCCAUCCAUUCAUUUAGCGGAUGCAGACUGAGUGCCAGGUGUCUACAAGGCACAGAGAAAACACUAACACGUCAGUUACCGCCCCUACUCCCAAUGGAGCUUGCUGCAUUAGCAAGAGCUGACUGAGAAAACCAAGGUUCAGAGAGGUUGCCCAAGCUGCUGCCGUCACACAGCCAGCACCGACAGCUGGGAAGGUGAACCAACGUCUCAGUGCAAAGCCCAAGCUCUCACAUCGCUGCUGACGAGCUGCCUCAAGGGCGGGAAGCCGCUGUGAGUCCAUCCACUCCUCAAGUGGUUCCCUCAGAGCUGUCACACCGCCUGUGUCCCGUGACCUCGACACUAGUUCCCCCGUUCACCAGCAUGGAAACAGAGCGUGCUAUAUCUCAGCUAUUUCUGAUUAGGUUUUUGAUUAUUCCAUGGCCUCCUGGUCCCAUUUACUUCCGAUAAGCUAGAGCCGGUUCUGCCUCAACGGGCAAAAGUCAAGUUAAAUUCAGCCUGAGAAAUAAUCUAAGUCGGAGAAGUGAUCAAAUAACCUUGCCAGAAAAAUAACUGAAAAAGCAAAAACUGAGAAUCAAAAUGAAAACCCACUUCAAAAAAUGUUUAUUGAAGAGACUGAGCAUGAAGAAUUAAAACAAUGUAAGGGAGUUGGGAAAACUUCCUAAAGGAUGUUUAAUUUUUCCUCAGCUCAUUGAUCCUUUCCCCCUUGAAAGCUUUCUCUGCCAAUUAAUCACUCAACUUAUUACCAGGGCCUGUUUCCCUGUUUAUGAUUUUGAGCCUCAAGAAUCCCUCUGUAAGACCACAGUAAAUUUCCCUGGUUAGCAAGACAAACAUUUAUCUUAGGGGAUCAAUUACUAUGCUGGGAGGUCUCAGAUUCCUGGGAUUUAGUGCAUGCCUUUGCCCUUGAUUUGUUGGGUGACCUUCGCUUCUCUGCCUUGGUUUCUGAAGCUAUACAAGGAAAACAAUGUUACCCCCUGAGUCGUGUCCUAAAAUUGCUCUGGGUUCCCUAUUGGAAAGUAGAAGAGGAUAUUUGGCCAAGGAUAUGCCCAUAAAUGCUUCUCCUUCUCCUUCUGGAAGUUAGCUAAUUAUGUUGAGAAUUGAAAAUACAUUCUCUGUGGGCAUCUAAAGUAGAUUCCUUACGGGAAUGUCUAGCGGGUGGGUGAAUAAAAGAGACACAUUAACAGACUUUUGUUAUUCUAGAGGAAAAUGUCAUAUCUCCAUUUUUUUGUGGCCACAAAGUUCAGAGUUGGGGACAGGGGUGGACAAGAAAACAGUAUUGUUCUUUGGAACUACGACUCACAAAUUGCUUACCCAUGAGAAGCUUUUUUGUUGCUGUUGAGUGACCUUUUUUUCUAGUGAGCCAGGCAGCUAAUUGACCAGUGGGUGGAUGAUAAAAUUACCCACUUUUGCAUUUAGUGAGUUCCCCGUCAUUGGAGGCAAGUAAGAAUAGACUGGAUGUACUCUCAGCAAAGGGUAGGGUGGAGAAAUUUCAAGCACCAGAAGAGAGCUUCAACUAAGUAACAUUCAUUCCCCUCCAACUCUGAGACUCAGGGAUUCUGGUUCUUGUCCAUGCCACAUGCUCUUCUGAAUAGACAGUCAGAGCUGUGCAGCAGCACAUGGGGACGAAGGUGGUGACAGGUGAGCUAAUGGGUAAGUUUCAGACUCAAAUCACGCAAAGAAAGGGUGGCUUUAUACUCGCUGAAAAGCAAGAACCAGAAUUAGGAUCCCAGGAGAAGAGGGUAAGUAGGGUACUGUGUAUUUGAGGACACACCUUUCAAUAGGGAGCACUGCAUGGACCAUGGACUCCAGCCUAAGAGGAAUUUGGUGUGGCCACUGAGCUCCCUCUGGAUGUAGCUUUCAGCCAUAGAGGCCCCAUCACUGAUUAAAGAUAGGAAGAACCCUGGCAUCAAAGACCUAGAGAGGGUGAGCACAGGGGUGGAAAUUAGGGGCAGUAUCAGCUUUUAAUCAGGCACUUAUUUGUAGAGUAAAUAACAUCCACAGUAACAAUAAGAGCUGUCAAUUAUUGAUCAUCUGCAAUGUGCAGGCAUGAUGCAUGGUUUGCCUCACCCGUACAAUUCUUCAAGCUAGAUGCUAUAUGCCUGUUUUACAGAUGAGGAAACUGAGGCAUCUACAGAGAGAGGAAGUGCCUUGCCUUGCAGAUGGCAGUGCCAGUGUUCAAACUCAAGCCUGUCUGACUCAAGAUUCAUGUUCUUUCUGUUGUGUCCACAGCCUUGAUUUAAAGAUGUGCCUAUGAAACUGUCACCCCAAUCAACAUGACCUUAGAUCUUACCCAAGAGACUUGUCCAGGAUCAUAUAUCAGGGACCACUGGAUGCCACACUUGUCCUUGAACCUCUGCAACCUCCAGCUGUGCCUGCUGACAAUGAAGACCUGCUGCCUUUGUGCUGACUUCCUUGUACAGCCCUGAAAGUCCCCCCAAAGCUGUGUGAUUAUUCUUUCUUUGUGUACCAGCCUCACCCCAAGGACGGGAGUGUCCAGAGGGCAGGGACUUGCUGUCAUUAUGAGCAUCCUCCAGUCUUCCACACUUGUGCCCAACAGGCAUGAGUCAACUGGGCACGUUGAUGCAUCAGUUCAUUUUUCCUACCAGGAAGCAUUCAGGGGUGUUGCAAGAUGCUUAUACCUUUCAGUUUUGUUUGGGACAGUGGCCCCAGCCCCUGAGCCAACCCCAUUAGGUUCUGGUUGUAGGGCUGGCAGAAACUGGUAGGGGCACUGUCUGCCCCCUGGGGAAUUGUGCUGUUAUACAGGACAGUAGGAGUGGUGAAAUCAGGAAGCCCAGGUCAGAAAGCAAUGAAAUGCUGGCCAGAACACAUGGUCCUAAAAGGGAAAAUCAAUCACACAGUGGGCUCAGAAGAUUUCAGAAAGUGGAGCUUGAGGGGAACCUGGGUGGCUCAGUUGGUUAAGCGUUUGACUCUUGAUUUCAGCUCAGGUCAUGACCUCACGGUUGUGAGGUGGGGCUCUGUGUUGGACUCUGUGCUGACAGCAUGGAGCUUGCUCGGGAUUCUCUCUGUCCCUCUCUUUCUGUCCCUCCCUUGAUCGUGCUCUCUCUCCGUCUCAAAAUAAAUAAAAAUUUAAAAGAAGAAGAAAGAAAACGGAGCUUGCUUGGGCAAGAGGUGCAGGGCUAAGACUGAAUUAAGCAAAGGUGUAGGAGGGUCUCUUGAGGUUGGUGUGCUGGAAAGACCCGUGGGCGGACAUGGUGUGUGUCUGUUACAUAAUUUCCCAAUGGUCAUUGAACUUGGGCCGAGCACCAAGACCAAGAUCCUCCUUCCUCCCCCUUCCUUCCAGGCAGCCAGAAAGCCCAGGGUCUCAGCUGAGUGGAUUAACUACUAAAUCAUCACAUAAGAAGCCCAACUUAAGACUUAGGGGAUGGCACCAAGUCUGGAUUUUGCUAGAACUUCUCUCAUCCACUGCCAAGACAGCUUCCUUUGAGGACGGCCCUAACCACAUGUCGGCCAUGCCUCACUUUGGUGUCAGGAUGGCUGUGCCCGCAGCCCCUUCUAUGGACUGACACUUGCCUGACAGUCCAGCCCUGAGAUCUGGGAUUUUCCAUCUUUUUGUUCCCAGAUGGCCCCAUCUGAGGCCCUAGACCUUUAGGAAUGUGUUUUGCCUAGGUCCCAGGGGUGACACUAAUGAGUUCUGAGUUCCCUUCCGUUCUCUCUGGCUGGGAUGUGGUUCUGAGUGUGGGUGGAGGAAUGCUUGAGUGUGGUUCUUGUUUGCAUCUUUGGAAAUCCUUUGGCAGGAAAGGAGGCCAGGACUCAGUGUCUAUUCUAACAGGAGCCGCUUUGGGGGUUCUAGUCGACAGGGAGGUGGGUCUUUGAAGAACUGGGGAGGAAGAAGAGUUGGUUUUUGUUUCUACUCCAACCCCUACUUUUGUUUCAUGCCAUUGCAUUGCCUCUCUUAGGGGUAGUUAAAAUCUUAUUUUUAAGCAGGUUUCUGGUCCACCACCCAUUUAUUGUGUGGCCUGGGGCCACCUACUGUGCCUCAGAUACCUCACCUGGCUGUGCUGCUUCCAGCUUAGUGAUUCGAAGCUUCUCUGAGCUCUAAACCUGCCAGUCUCUGAAAAGAAACCAUAAUUAUCCUCACUUUCCAAAAACAAAGGACAAGAGCCGAUGUGCAAUUGGUUAUCCCUUCUUCCCCAACUGUGAGCAUGGUUUCUCAGCAGGCAGAAUUAGCAUGAUGGUCUCCCAGGCUGUAGAGAGGAAGAAAUACAGUAAGAAGCUUGAAAGGAUUUGCAAACUGAAAUAAGCAAUGCAAAUGUUUGCACUAAUACCUGCCCCCAACCUCUCCCAAGUAUCACAUGCUGUAUCUUAUUUUUUUUUAUGGUUUUGCUCUGUGUGUGUAUGUUGGUGUGUGUGUUUGGCACAUGUGUAUUGGUGUGGCUGUGUUUUGUGUGUGUGUGUGUCAAUGUGUGUCUGUAGGUGGAGUCAGUGAGCUACUGCAUGUAAAGCCCGGGUCCUAGAACAUAGUAUAUUCUCAGUAAAUGUGAGUCGUUAUGAAAGCUUGGAACUUCUGUUUUCCUUUGUUUUUAACCCUAUUUUUUUUUUUUUAUCAAGGUAUAACACUCGGUAAAGUGCACACAUCUUAGCUGUAGAGCAUGAUGGAUUUUUGCAUGUGUAUACAUCCAUGUGGCCACCACCCAGAUCAAAAAAUGGGGUACUGCCAGCUCCCAGCAGCUUCCCUGCAGCAUCAGUGUCCACUUUCCUUUACUUAAAGUUUCCUUAUUUAUUUUGAGAAAGCGAGAGAGAAAGAGAGAGUGCACGAGCACAUGCUCGUGCAAGGGAGGGGCAGAGAGAGAGGGAGAGAAAGAAUCCAGAGCAGGCUCCUACUGUCAGUGCAGAGCCCAACGCGGGGCUCGAACUCACAAACCACAAGAUCAUGACCUGAGCCGAAGUCAGAUGCUUAACUGACUGAGCUGCCCAGGCACCCCCAGUGUCCACUCUCCUGACUUCUAUCAUCUUAGAUUGGUUGUCCAUGGUUUCAGACUUCACAUACAUGGAGCCAUACAGUAUACACUCUUCAGGUCUGGCUUCUUCAGUUCAACAUAGUGCCUAUGAGAUUCAUCCAUAUUUAGCAGAGCUUUUUUCUUUUAACUUCCAGUGUCGUGUGGCAUUGUCCAGACUUAGCAUGUACUCAUCCCUUCUCCUGUUGGUGACCAUCCCAUCCGUUUCCAGUUUGGGCUGUCAUGAGUAAAGCUUCUGCAAGCAAGGCUUUCGUGGACAUAAGCACUGAUUUGGGUUGGGUAUCUACCCAGAAGAGAAUUUCCUAGGUCAUAGGGUAUCUGCAUCUUUGCUUUUAAUAGAUGCUGCCAAACAGUUUUCUGAAGUGCUUUUAGGUUACUCUCCAAACAGCAAUAAUCGAGAGUUCCGGUUGCUUCAUAUCCAUCUACAUCCUCACUGUCACAGUUGGCUUCUCCAGAGGCAGGUGCUGUGAUGGAGUCGGGGUUGCAAGGUAUCUGUUAGGGCUCAGCACCUGUGAAAAGAAAGGGGAGGAGCAGAAUUGGACAGAGGGAAAGAAGCUGAUCUGCGGUGCGGGCCAACAGAGCCCCAGUCAACCCAGCAGGGAGCUCCGGGGUGAGCACUGCCCACCCCAGGGACUACUUUGGUGGAAACAGCAGACCUAGAACCCUGCCUCACUCAGUCCCUGGAUGUGGACUGCUGCGGGAGGGCCAUGGCCCCAGGCAAGGCAGUUCUCCAGAGCAGAAGCAGGUGUUGAAGGAGCUGACAGCACUCCCUAUGACCGGUCCCCAACCCUCCCUCGAAGGGAGAUCUCUCCGAGUCCAGCACAUACACACUAGUCAUGGGGGAGAGAGGGUGGUGAUAGUGUCCUACUGAGAUUUUAAUCAGCAUUUCCAUGAUGACUCAUGUUGCUGUUGCACUUGUUGGCCUUUCGGAUAUCGUCUUUUGUACAGUGCCUAUGCAAGUUUUUGCCCAUUAAAAAAAAUUGAGAUGUUUGCUUUUUCUUAUUAAUUUAUAAAAGUUCUGGAUAUGAGUUACUUUUCAUACAUAUACUGCAAACAUCUUUUGUCAAUCUGUUUUGUUUAGGAAAUCUUUUCCUAUCCUAUAGGGUCAUGAAGAUAUUCCUGUCUUUUUCUUUUUCUAGAAGAUUUAUCAUUUUUAGAUCUAUGAUCCAUCUCAAAUUCAUAUUUGUAUUUGGUACGAGUUAGGCUUUUUUUCCCCCAUAUGGAAAUCCAAUUGGGCUAAUGCUGCUCAAUGAAAAGAUCAUCUUUCCCCCACCGAAUCGUAGUACAUCUUUACUGUAAAUCAGCUGAAGGAAUAUGUGUUUGUCUCUUUCUGGGCUCCUUAUUCUGGCCCAUUUGACGGGAUUAUGCUGUGCCACACUGUCUUACUGCCUGUGGAUUUAUAAAAACUCUUAACAUCUGGUGGUGUUAAGUCCCCCAACUUUUUUUUUUUUUUUUUGAGAUCGUCCUUACCUAUUCUAGGUCCUUUGAAUCUCCAUAUAGAUUUUAAACUCAACAUGCGUUUCUUCAAACAUACCUGCUGAGAUAUUGAUCUACAUUGGGCUUACAUUGACUGUAUCCAUCUAUUUGGGGAGAAUUGACAUCUUAACAUUAAGUUGGCCAAUCAGUGACUAUCGUGUAAUUCUCCACUUAGACCUUCUUCAGUUUAUCUGCAAAGUUCUGUAGUUUUUAGCAUAGAGAUCUCAUACCGCUUUCAUUAGAUUUACUCAUAAAUAUUAGAUGAUUUUAAUAUUAUUAUAAAUGAUAUUUAAAGUUUUUCAUUUUCUGGUUAUUGCUAGCAUAUAGAAAUUCAAUCGAUUUUUACAUGUUGAUUAUAUUCAGCAACCUUACUAAAUAUACUCAUUCUAAUAGUUUGCAGAUUAUUUGGAUUUUUCCAUAUACAACAUUGUCAUCUGAAAUAAUACAGUUUGUAAGUUUCCUUUCCAAUCCUGGUUUAUUUUUAUUUUUCUUGCCUUAUUGAAAUGACUGGGUCCUGCCAUACAAUGUUGGAUAGAAAAGUUAGUGGUGGACAUCCUUUUCUUGAUCCUAUACUUAGGAGAAAAACAUUUAAUAUUUCACCAUUAAUGAUGAUGUUAGGUGUGUGUGUGUGUGUCUGUGUCUGUCUGUCUGCCUGUCUCUGUGUGUAUCUGUAUGUUUGGCAGAUUCCCUUUAUCAGAUUAAGGAAAUUCUAUCUGAUACUCUUUUCUGAGAGUUUUUGUCAUGAAAAGGCACUGAAUUUUAAUAAAUACUUUUCUGUAUUGAUUUUAGCUCACAUCUACAGAUGCAGCUUUCAAACGCUGGAAAGUGGUUUGUGACUGAUGUCAGGCCAGAGGGUUUCUGAGGGAGCUGGGCCCCUGUGGGGGCUGGAUGAGAUGGCUGCAGGAGGGCAGGAGUGUGAGGUGCCCUAAAGAGACAAGUCAGUGACAUGUGUGAUCACCCAUCUCAGCCCUGAUGGACUCCUGCUCUGCUCAUUCCCAGCAAGCACUUGGGGUCUUUUUCUGAAUGGAAACUAGACCCUUUUAUAGGACCCUGUGCCAGGCACUAUGUGAGGCCUCACGGGGGAACACAUGACCCAGGUGCUCCAGGGCCUUUGGGUUUUGCCACAUGUCAUGUCUUCAUGCAGUUCUUAGGAGGAACUAGAUUUGGACUAGAACCAGGGGGCCUGUGUCUCUCUCCUUUCUUCCGCAGCAUCUCCCUGCCAGACACCAAAGGCUCUUGGGAGCAGCUGGACUGUGUACAAGCGGGGAAAGAGCAAUGGAAAAUGCAUCAGAUGAUCCCCACCCUCACCCAUUUCGUCCCCUGCCUAGUUGUCUUGUGGAUAUUUGGCCUUCCCAGUGCGGUCUGGGAAGACUUAGAAAGUUUCCUUCCAGAGCCCCAGGAGGCCAAGAACGGGAGCUGCCCCAGGCCAUUUCUGUCCCUGGGUCUCCUUUCAAAGGAUUUCUGGAUAGAUGAGAGAGAUUGUGGCUUGUGGGCAGUCAGGAGGGAAGGCCUAUCGUUUCAGAUUUCUGGCUUGGCUCAAAGAUUCAAACUCUAAUUCUCAGACUAAAUGCCUCAGUCCACUGGGAAUAAAGGUCUUCCCUUCAAAGAAUGAUCACCAUAUUUGUUGCUUCUGCUGCCUUUGCUCAGGUACCUUCUUUCCAUACCAAGUCUCUGUUUCAGCCAAACUCAUGUGGAAAUUAGGACUCUUUGGGUUGCAAGUGACAGAAACAGAUGGCAAACUAGCCUAACCCUCAAAAGAGGUGAAAUUUAUUGCUUCACAGAUCUGAAAAGUCUAGGGUGGAAAUCCAGGUGCUCAAACACCAUCGUGAGGAAUGGGACUGUCUCCAUUUUUGGCUCUGGUUUCUGCUGCACGGGCUUUAUUCUCAGGCAAGCUCUUCCUUUACAAUGGCAAAGAAGAUCCGGCAUACAUCCUCCCAGCUUGGUAACUACAGUGGAAAUACAACACCCUUUUUCAGUAGAUGAGGCAAAAAUACCAGGAAGGGCUCUCAUUGGCCGGGGUUAAUUCACACACCCGUAUUGAGAAUCAGCCCCACUGGAAACACAUGGUCUGAGAAUGGGGGAAGGGUGGAUCCUGAGAGGAAAAAACGUUUUUCAACUAGAAUUAAAUGUGCCAGGCAGGCAAAAUCACUCAGCACCACCUCCUCCAGCUGCCCCUGCCCACAUCCAUGCCUUUGUUCACAUAUUUCCCUUUCUGGAAUGUUGUCCUCCUUCCUCGGCUUAAUGUCCCUUCCUCCAAUCCUCACCUCCCCUGGAAACCUUGCCCAGCCUUCUAGCCCACACAGAUCUCCCCCUUCUUUGAACUCCCUGUGUGCCAGUGGUCUAUAUGUUUGAUUUACUUUAAAGCAAAUAUAACUCGAUUGCUUUCUUCUGAUUAUAUCAUAUGAAUACUUGUUCCCCAGGCAAAUCAAAAUACAGAGAUGAAAUCCCAUUACCCACAGAGGCUUCUCAGGGGAGGUGACGCUGUGCCCAGGUCUGAGGUUUGAGUAGAAGUGAGGCAGGCGUGGAUGGAACAGAGCCAGGGGUGUUUCAGGGUCGGGAGCCAGCCCAGGCAAAGUCUCCAGGUUUGAGGAAGUGACAGCAGCUUGGCGAGCAGGAGUGGAGUGGAGAGGUUUAGAGAGGAGACUGGCACAUGGGGGCCACGGCAAGGAGGUGGCUUUUAUUCUACAUGAGGUGGGAAGCUGCUGGGGAAUUUUUAUUGGGAGGCAGGUGUUAAUCAGAGAGAGCUUUCUUGGCUAUGGCAUGGAGAAGGCAGUGGGACAAGUUUGUACUUGGGAGGCCAAUGUGGUCACCCAGGCUAGAGAUGAUGCUGGUUCUGCCCAGGGUGGUA